ACGCAGUGGGCUCAUGGGCCGGAGCAGCCAGCUGCAGAGAGGGAGGGCAGAGGCUGCCUUCCUCACAGCAUCCUGCCUGCGGGGCCAGGAACAAUGCUAUUCACGUGAGUGGGAGUCCAAGCUCCUACAUGGCUCAUGUGCUCCAAACCAAUGCUCUGAGCUCUUCAAUUUGGAAAAUGGCAUGCAGCCCAGAAU